UAAAAUCAGUUCUUUCUCUUCUCUGCCGCGAGAAGAUCAAAUCUCUGAAAUUAUUUAGCUUUUUCGAUCCUUCUCUUCAAAUUCCUGUUCUACCCUUGCAUUUCCCUCCUCCAAAUUCCCUUUUGACCCCUCUUUCUCUUGCGGCAUUUCCUUCCCAUGAUCGAUCUCUAAGGUUUUAUUCCCACGAGCUGAGAAUGUCGGGCGGAGGCAAUUUCACCGACCACCACCUUCUGAUUCGAUCGAAUCCUUCCGCGUCGGAAGAGCCUGAUUUGGAGUGGCAUGGGUCGAAGAAGAAAGGGAUCAAGGUUCUGUUGAAGCAGUUGGAUGGAGGGACGUCGGGGAGGCGGUUGAAUCGGUUGAAUUUGGACAGGGAGGUGGAUUCUCCAUUUCAUCAAAUGUCACCGUCGCACAAUGCUCUUGGCAAUGGGGCCCCGCCCGAAUGGGCAUUGCUGCUGAUUGGGUGCUUUCUUGGACUUGCCACGGGGCUCUGCGUUGCCGCUUUCAAUCGAGGGGUGCACAUAAUACAUGAAUUUGCCUGGGCGGGCACUCCAAGUGAAGGUGCUGCUUGGCUCCGUUUACAAAGACUAGCCGAUACAUGGCACAGGAUACUGUUAAUACCAGUGACAGGAGGGGUUGUUGUUGGCAUGAUGCAUGGAUUGCUCGAAAUCUUUGAACAAAUAAACCAAUCCAGGUCUUCUCAAAGGCAAAGCUUCGAUUUGCUGGCUGGAGUCUUCCCCACAAUAAAGGCCAUCCAGGCUGCUGUAACUUUAGGUACAGGUUGUUGUUUAGGUCCCGAGGGUCCCAGUGUUGAUAUCGGCAAAUCAUGUGCCAAUGGGUGUUCUAAAAUGAUGGAAAACAACACAGAAAGGAGGAUAGCACUGGUUGCAGCUGGUGCAGCUGCUGGAAUUGCUUCAGGGUUUAAUGCAGCAGUUGCUGGUUGCUUCUUUGCCAUCGAAACUGUGCUAAGGCCACUUCGAGCAGAAAACUCACCUCCAUUUACAACUGCGAUGAUAAUAUUGGCAUCUGUUAUAUCGUCUACUGUGUCGAAUGUUUUAUUGGGGGAGAGGCCAGCCUUUACAGUGCCCACGUAUGAACUGAAAUCUGCUGCUGAGCUACCUUUAUACCUCAUAUUGGGUAUGUUAUGUGGGGCAGUAAGUGUAGCCUUCACUCGCUUGGUGACUUGGUUCACUAAGGCUUUUGAUUAUAUCAAGGAGAGAUUUGGCCUCCCUGCAGUUGUAUGCCCCGCUUUAGGUGGUCUAGGAGCUGGUAUAAUAGCUCUGAGGUACCCAGGGAUACUGUAUUGGGGCUUUACAAAUGUGGAUGAAAUCCUACGCACGGGGAAGAGUGCUUCAGCACCUGGAAUUUGGCUAUUGACUCAAUUGGUGGGGGCCAAAGUUGUGGCGACUGCUCUUUGCAGGGGAUCUGGGCUUGUGGGUGGUCUUUAUGCCCCAAGCUUGAUGAUUGGUGCUGCUCUUGGUGCCGUGUUUGGGGGUUCGGCUGCAGAAAUCUUCAAUUCAGCCAUCCCAGGCAAUGCUGCUGUUGCUCAGCCACAGGCCUAUGCUCUGGUCGGGAUGGCUGCUACAUUAGCUUCAGUUUGUUCAGUUCCCUUGACAUCAGUGCUACUUCUGUUUGAGCUGACAAAGGAUUACAGAAUUUUGCUUCCACUCAUGGGGGCUGUCGGAUUAGCAAUAUGGGUGCCUUCCGUAGCAAACCAGGCCAAGGAGAAUGAGGCAUCUGAUUCAAGGACCGUUAGGCGAGGUUAUUCUUCUCUUUCACCUGUUGAAGACAAAGGCCAGGCUAUUUGGAGGCAAGUGGAUGGUGGAAAUGUUGUAGAACUCUCUGACCUAGAAAAUGCUGUUGACCACGAAAUUGAUAAUGAAGAUACAAUUCUGGAUGAACUGAAGGUUUCUCAUGCCAUGUCAAAGUACUACGUGAAGGUCUCACCACAAGUAACUGUGAAAGCAGCAGUAAAAUUUAUGCAUGAUAAGCAGCAAAAUUGUGUUAUUGUGGUCGAUGCUGAAGAUCUUCUUGUUGGUAUCCUUACGCUUGGUGAUGUUCGACGGGGACUGUCCAAAGCAUCUGUCAAUUCUCCCAAGAAUGAUUUGUCAGUUUCAGAUGUGAAUGCAUGUCUUGUUUCGUCUCGUUGCACCCAAGGAAUACACUAUCAAGGAAGAGAAUGUGGGCUUUUAACUUGUUAUCCAGACACAGAUUUGACAAUUGCAAAGGAACUUAUGGAGGCCAAAGGAAUCAAACAGCUGCCAGUGGUUAGGCGUGGUGUAAAAAUGAGAAAAGAACGGAAGCGCAGAGUUGUCGCCCUUCUUCAUUAUGAUUCAAUCUGGCACUGUCUCAGAUGGAAAUAUUCCUUACACAGAGAGGAGGUGGACCGUCGAAAAUUUGUCUACAGGCCCACAACAAAUCUUCCAGAAAUCUCUGGGAAUGGUCACUGAAUACAGAAAUGGUUCAAUUCACCUGCUUUGAAAACUGCCUCCAACAGCUGAAGCAAGAAGGCCAUAUGGGUAAACAACCAUUUAGUCUCUGGGUGCCUUAUGCAGCACUAGCCGAGUAUUUACUUCCAUCAGAUCUCUUAUUUCAGCAGCCGGAUUUGAUUUAGCACCAGCAGAAGCCUAUAUCUCAGUAUGGGUCCUUUGUAUGAUCAAACUCCCAAUUGUAUAGACAUGACGAAACACAAGGUGACACACCUGAUGAACGGGUCGGAUCUAAUCAACUGUUUUUCUAAGUAACUUUCUAAAGCAUCUUUGGUAUCAGAAGCAAAUCCAAAUUCUAAAAUUUCCCACACAGAAGUGCUUGUACUUUGUGUAUUAAGACCAAGGUUUUAAAGUAUCAUCUAAAACUGGUACAUAUAGCCUCACAUGAACCCUAAUCUUGAAUUAA